rnacentral:rRNA from 1 species
GAUGAACGCUAGCUACAGGCUUAACACAUGCAAGUCGCGGGGCAGCAUGGGGGUUGCUUGCAAUCCCCGAUGGCGACCGGCGCACGGGUGAGUAACGCGUAUCCAACCUGCCCUUCACCACGGGAUAACCCGGCGAAAGUCGGACUAAUACCGUAUGUUGUCCAUUGACGGCAUCCGAUUUGGACGAAAGGCCUGGCGGUGAGGGUUGGGGAUGCGUCCGAUUAGCCAGACGGCGGGGUAACGGCCCACCGUGGCUACGAUCGGUAGGGGUUCUGAGAGGAAGGUCCCCCACGCUGGAACUGAGACACGGUCCAGACUCCUACGGGAGGCAGCAGUGAGGAAUAUUGGUCAAUGGGCGUAAGCCUGAACCAGCCAAGUAGCGUGCAGGAUGACGGCGCUAUGGGUUGUAAACUGCUUUUAUGCGGGGAUAAAGUGGCCCACGUGUGGGCUUUUGCAGGUACCGCAUGGAUAAGGACCGGCUAAUUCCGUG